AAACUCGCCUACAUGAAGCUGGAGUUACUAGUAAUCGCAGAUCAGAAUGCUGCGGUGAAUACGUUCCCGGGUCUUGUACACACCGCCCGUCACACCAUGGGAGUCGGAAAUGCCCGAAGCCGGUGACCAAACCAAUAAGGAAGGAGCCGUCGAAGGCAGGUCUGAUAACUGGGGUGAAGUCGUAACAAGGUACC
rnacentral:rRNA from 1 species